GCUACACAUGCAGUCGAGCGGCAGCGGGAAGAUAGYUUGCUAUCUUUGCCGGCGAGCGGCGCNCGGGUGAGUAAUGCCUAGGGAUCUGCCCAGUCGAGGGGGAUAACAGUUGGAAACGACUGCUAAUACCGCAUACGCCCUACGGGGGAAAGGAGGGGACCUUCGGGCCUUCCGCGAUUGGAUGAACCUAGGUGGGAUUAGCUAGUUGGUGAGGUAAUGGCUCACCAAGGCGACGAUCCCUAGCUGUUCUGAGAGGAUGAUCAGCCACACUGGGACUGAGACACGGCCCAGACUCCUACGGGAGGCAGCAGUGGGGAAUAUUGCACAAUGGGGGAAACCCUGAUGCAGCCAUGCCGCGUGUGUGAAGAAGGCCUUCGGGUUGUAAAGCACUUUCAGUAGGGAGGAAAGGUAGCAGCUUAAUACGCUGUUGCUGUGACGUUACCUACAGAAGAAGGACCGGCUAACUCCGUGCCAGCAGCCGCGGUAAUACGGAGGGUCCGAGCGUUAAUCGGAAUUACUGGGCGUAAAGCGUGCGCAGGCGGUUUGUUAAGCGAGAUGUGAAAGCCCCGGGCUCAACCUGGGAAUUGCAUUUCGAACUGGCGAACUAGAGUCUUGUAGAGGGGGGUAGAAUUCCAGGUGUAGCGGUGAAAUGCGUAGAGAUCUGGAGGAAUACCGGUGGCGAAGGCGGCCCCCUGGAC
rnacentral:rRNA from 1 species